GAUGAACGCUGGCGGCGUGCCUAAUACAUGCGAGUCGAGCGAACAGACGAGGAGCUUGCUCCUCUGACGUUAGCGGCGGACGGGUGAGUAACACGUGGAUAACCUACCUAUAAGACUGGGAUAACUUCGGGAAACCGGAGCUAAUACCGGAUAAUAUAUUGAACCGCAUGGUUCAAUAGUGAAAGACGGUUUUGCUGUCACUUAUAGAUGGAUCCGCGCCGCAUUAGCUAGUUGGUAAGGUAACGGCUUACCAAGGCAACGAUGCGUAGCCGACCUGAGAGGGUGAUCGGCCUCACUGGAACUGAGACACGGUCCAGACUCCUACGGGAGGCAGCAGUAGGGAAUCUUCCGCAAUGGGCGAAAGCCUGACGGAGCAACGCCGCGUGAGUGAUGAAGGUCUUCGGAUCGUAAAACUCUGUUAUUAGGGAAGAACAAAUGUGUAAGUAACUAUGCACGUCUUGACGGUACCUAAUCAGAAAGCCACGGCUAACUACGUG
rnacentral:rRNA from 1 species